rnacentral:lncRNA from 1 species
UUUUAUUGUGAUCAGCUGCAGGCGAUCAGCAAUAUGACCUCAUCUGCAGCUGAGGGGAUUUGACCUUUGCCCCUUUAGGUAUGUGAAGCAGAAAAAAAUCCUUCACAGGCUGAGGAAUGCAAAGCAGACAAGCAUCUUCAGCCAGCAGAGUUUAUCAAGCAUGUGUUCAGUGCAAAUGCUCAGACUUGGACAUGAUGCAAAAGCAAUUAAGAGAAAGAACAGGCUUUGACAUGUAUUAUUUGAUGUAGCACUCAUGGGCACCAUGAUGAGGAGCUCUUAAAUCAGCUUAAGAAAGGUGAACUACUAAGAUCAAAAGAGUGUUCCUUUUUCCUGGUAGAAGUUCUGAUCCUAAGAAAAAGAAACAAUGCAAAUGUUUG